rnacentral:rRNA from 1 species
UUAAGCGACUAAGCGUACACGGUGGAUGCCCUGGCAGUCAGAGGCGAUGAAGGACGUGCUAAUCUGCGAUAAGCGUCGGUAAGGUGAUAUGAACCGUUAUAACCGGCGAUUUCCGAAUGGGGAAACCCAGUGUGAUUCGUCACACUAUCAUUAACUGAAUCCAUAGGUUAAUGAGGCGAACCGGGGAACUGAAACAUCUAAGUACCCCGAGGAAAAGAAAUCAACCGAGAUUCCCCAGUAGCGGCGAGCGAACGGGGAGCAGCCCAGAGCCUGAAUCAGUGUGUGUGUUAGUGGAAGCGUCUGGAAAGGCGUGCGAUACAGGGUGACAGCCCCGUACACAAAAAUGCACAUAUUGUGAGCUCGAUGAGUAGGGCGGGACACGUGGUAUCCUGUCUGAAUAUGGGGGGACCAUCCUCCAAGGCUAAAUACUCCUGACUGACCGAUAGUGAACCAGUACCGUGAGGGAAAGGCGAAAAGAACCCCGGCGAGGGGAGUGAAAAAGAACCUGAAACCGUGUACGUACAAGCAGUGGGAGCACGCUUAGGCGUGUGACUGCGUACCUUUUGUAUAAUGGGUCAGCGACUUAUAUUCUGUAGCAAGGUUAACCGAAUAGGGGAGCCGAAGGGAAACCGAGUCUUAACUGGGCGUUAAGUUGCAGGGUAUAGACCCGAAACCCGGUGAUCUAGCCAUGGGCAGGUUGAAGGUUGGGUAACACUAACUGGAGGACCGAACCGACUAAUGUUGAAAAAUUAGCGGAUGACUUGUGGCUGGGGGUGAAAGGCCAAUCAAACCGGGAGAUAGCUGGUUCUCCCCGAAAGCUAUUUAGGUAGCGCCUCGUGAAUUCAUCUCCGGGGGUAGAGCACUGUUUCGGCAAGGGGGUCAUCCCGACUUACCAACCCGAUGCAAACUGCGAAUACCGGAGAAUGUUAUCACGGGAGACACACGGCGGGUGCUAACGUCCGUCGUGAAGAGGGAAACAACCCAGACCGCCAGCUAAGGUCCCAAAGUCAUGGUUAAGUGGGAAACGAUGUGGGAAGGCCCAGACAGCCAGGAUGUUGGCUUAGAAGCAGCCAUCAUUUAAAGAAAGCGUAAUAGCUCACUGGUCGAGUCGGCCUGCGCGGAAGAUGUAACGGGGCUAAACCAUGCACCGAAGCUGCGGCAGCGACACUAUGUGUUGUUGGGUAGGGGAGCGUUCUGUAAGCCUGUGAAGGUGUACUGUGAGGUAUGCUGGAGGUAUCAGAAGUGCGAAUGCUGACAUAAGUAACGAUAAAGCGGGUGAAAAGCCCGCUCGCCGGAAGACCAAGGGUUCCUGUCCAACGUUAAUCGGGGCAGGGUGAGUCGACUCCUAAGGCGAGGCCGAAAGGCGUAGUCGAUGGGAAACAGGUUAAUAUUCCUGUACUUGGUGUUACUGCGAAGGGGGGACGGAGAAGGCUAUGUUGGCCGGGCGACGGUUGUCCCGGUUUAAGCGUGUAGGCUGGUUUUCCAGGCAAAUCCGGAAAACUAAGGCUGAGGCGUGAUGACGAGGCACUACGGUGCUGAAGCAACAAAUGCCCUGCUUCCAGGAAAAGCCUCUAAGCAUCAGGUAACAUCAAAUCGUACCCCAAACCGACACAGGUGGUCAGGUAGAGAAUACCAAGGCGCUUGAGAGAACUCGGGUGAAGGAACUAGGCAAAAUGGUGCCGUAACUUCGGGAGAAGGCACGCUGAUAUGUAGGUGAAGUCCCUCGCGGAUGGAGCUGAAAUCAGUCGAAGAUACCAGCUGGCUGCAACUGUUUAUUAAAAACACAGCACUGUGCAAACACGAAAGUGGACGUAUACGGUGUGACGCCUGCCCGGUGCCGGAAGGUUAAUUGAUGGGGUCAGCGCAAGCGAAGCUCUUGAUCGAAGCCCCGGUAAACGGCGGCCGUAACUAUAACGGUCCUAAGGUAGCGAAAUUCCUUGUCGGGUAAGUUCCGACCUGCACGAAUGGCGUAAUGAUGGCCAGGCUGUCUCCACCCGAGACUCAGUGAAAUUGAACUCGCUGUGAAGAUGCAGUGUACCCGCGGCAAGACGGAAAGACCCCGUGAACCUUUACUAUAGCUUGACACUGAACAUUGAGCCUUGAUGUGUAGGAUAGGUGGGAGGCUUUGAAGUGUGGACGCCAGUCUGCAUGGAGCCGACCUUGAAAUACCACCCUUUAAUGUUUGAUGUUCUAACGUUGACCCGUAAUCCGGGUUGCGGACAGUGUCUGGUGGGUAGUUUGACUGGGGCGGUCUCCUCCUAAAGAGUAACGGAGGAGCACGAAGGUUGGCUAAUCCUGGUCGGACAUCAGGAGGUUAGUGCAAUGGCAUAAGCCAGCUUGACUGCGAGCGUGACGGCGCGAGCAGGUGCGAAAGCAGGUCAUAGUGAUCCGGUGGUUCUGAAUGGAAGGGCCAUCGCUCAACGGAUAAAAGGUACUCCGGGGAUAACAGGCUGAUACCGCCCAAGAGUUCAUAUCGACGGCGGUGUUUGGCACCUCGAUGUCGGCUCAUCACAUCCUGGGGCUGAAGUAGGUCCCAAGGGUAUGGCUGUUCGCCAUUUAAAGUGGUACGCGAGCUGGGUUUAGAACGUCGUGAGACAGUUCGGUCCCUAUCUGCCGUGGGCGCUGGAGAACUGAGGGGGCUGCUCCUAGUACGAGAGGACCGGAGUGGACGCAUCACUGGUGUUCGGGUUGUCAUGCCAAUGGCACUGCCCGGUAGCUAAAUGCGGAAGAGAUAAGUGCUGAAAGCAUCUAAGCACGAAACUUGCCCCGAGAUGAGUUCUCCCUGACUCCUUGAGAGUCCUGAAGGAACGUUGAAGACGACGACGUUGAUAGGCCGGGUGUGUAAGCGCAGCGAUGCGUUGAGCUAACCGGUACUAAUGAACCGUGAGGCUUAACCUU